rnacentral:rRNA from 1 species
UACGUAGGUGGCAAGCGUUAUCCGGAUUUAUUGGGUGUAAAGGGCGUGUAGGCGGGAGCGCAAGUCAGAUGUGGAAACUCAGGGCUCAACCCUGAGCCUGCAUUUGAAACUGUGUUUCUUGAGUGCUGGAGAGGCAAUCGGAAUUCCGUGUGUAGCGGUGAAAUGCGUAGAUAUACGGAGGAACACCAGUGGCGAAGGCGGAUUGCUGGACAGUAACUGACGCUGAGGCGCGAAAGCGUGGGGAGCAAACAGG